CCUACGGGAGGCAGCAGUGGGGAAUAUUGCACAAUGGGGGGAACCCUGAUGCAGCGACGCCGCGUGGGUGAAGGAGUAUUUCGGUAUGUAAAGCCCUAUCAGCAGGGAAGAACAAUGACGGUACCUGACUAAGAAGCACCGGCUAAAUACGUGCCAGCAGCCGCGGUAAUACGUAUGGUGCAAGCGUUAUCCGGAUGUACUGGGUGUAAAGGGAGCGCAGGCGGCGCGUUAAGCCUGGUGUGAAAGUCCGCGGCUCAACCGCGGGACUGCAUUGGGAACUGGCGCGCUGGAGUGCCGGAGGGGUAGGUGGAAUUCCUAGUGUAGCGGUGAAAUGCGUAGAUAUUAGGAGGAAUACCAGUGGCGAAGGCGGCCUACUGGACGGUGACUGACGCUGAGGCGCGAAAGCGUGGGGAGCAAACAGGAUUAGAUACCCGAGUAGUC
rnacentral:rRNA from 1 species